rnacentral:rRNA from 1 species
GACGAACGCUGGCGGCGUGCUUAACACAUGCAAGUCGAACGGAAAGGCCCUGCUUUUGUGGGGUGCUCGAGUGGCGAACGGGUGAGUAACACGUGAGUAACCUGCCCUUGACUUUGGGAUAACUUCAGGAAACUGGGGCUAAUACCGGAUAGGAGCUCCUGCUGCAUGGUGGGGGUUGGAAAGUUUCGGCGGUUGGGGAUGGACUCGCGGCUUAUCAGCUUGUUGGUGGGGUAGUGGCUUACCAAGGCUUUGACGGGUAGCCGGCCUGAGAGGGUGACCGGCCACAUUGGGACUGAGAGACGCCCCAGACUCCUACGGGAGACAACAGUGGAGAAUAUUGCACAAUGGGCCGAAGCCUGAUGCGACAACGCCGCGUGCGGGAUGACGGCCUUCGGGUUGUAAACCGCUUUCGCCUGUGACGAAGCGUGAGUGACGGUAAUGGGUAAAGAAGCACCGGCUAACUACGUG